rnacentral:rRNA from 1 species
CUGCUCAAUGAUUUUUUAAAUUGCUGUGGUAUUUUGACUAUACAAAGGUAUUGAAAUAAGAUUUUAAUUGAAUGCUAAGAGAAUGGAAUUUCAGAAAAAAACUUUUUUCAAGUUAAAAAUUGAAAUUUUUUUAAUUUGUGCAGAAACAAUUAUUAAUAUUAAGGACAAGAAGACCCUAUGAAUUUAUAAAUUUUAUUUAAUAUGUAACUACUAUUAAAAAAAUUUUAGCUGGGGCGGCGGAAAAAUAUUUAAAACUUUUUUAAAAUAAAAUGACCCAUUAUUAAUGAUUAUAUGUUAAAUACUCUAGGGAUAACAGCGU